UACGUAGGGGGCUAGCGUUGUCCGGAAUCAUUGGGCGUAAAGAGCGUGUAGGCGGUUCGGUAAGUCCGCUGUGAAAGUCCAGGGCUCAACCCUGGAAUGCCGGUGGAUACUGUCGGGCUAGAGUCCGGAAGAGGCGAGUGGAAUUCCUGGUGUAGCGGUGAAAUGCGCAGAUAUCAGGAGGAACACCGAUGGCGAAGGCAGGUCUCUGGGCAUUAACUGACGCUGAGGAGCGAAAGCAUGGGGAGCGAACAGG
rnacentral:rRNA from 1 species